rnacentral:tRNA from 1 species
GCGGGCAUAGCAUAGUGGUAAUGCUCCAGCCUUCCAAGCUGAUUAGACGGGUUCGAUUCCCGUUGCCCGCUCCA